rnacentral:rRNA from 1 species
AACGAACGCUGGCGGCAGGCUUAACACAUGCAAGUCGAACGCCCCGCAAGGGGAGUGGCAGACGGGUGAGUAACGCGUGGGAACAUACCCUUUUCUACGGAAUAGCUCUGGGAAACUGGAAUUAAUACCGUAUACGCCCUACGGGGGAAAGAUUCAUCGGGGAAGGAUUGGCCCGCGUUGGAUUAGCUAGUUGGUGGGGUAAAGGCCUACCAAGGCGACGAUCCAUAGCUGGUCUGAGAGGAUGAUCAGCCACAUUGGGACUGAGACACGGCCCAAACUCCUACGGGAGGCAGCAGUGGGGAAUAUUGGACAAUGGACGCAAGCCUGAUCCAGCCAUGCCGCGUGAGUGAUGAAGGCCUUAGGGUUGUAAAGCUCUUUCACCGAUGAAGAUAAUGACGGUAGUCGGAGAAGAAGCCCCGGCUAACUUCGUGCCAGCCGCCGCGGUAACAC